AUACGGAGGGGGUUAGCGUUGUUCGGAAUUACUGGGCGUAAAGCGUACGUAGGCGGACUGGAAAGUUGGGGGUGAAAUCGCGGGGCUCAACCCCGGAACUGCCUCCAAAACUUCCAAUCUAGAGAUCGAGAGAGGUGAGUGGAAUUCCAAGUGUAGAGGUGAAAUUCGUAGAUAUUUGGAGGAACACCAGUGGCGAAGGCGGCUCACUGGCUCGAUACUGACGCUGAGGUACGAAAGCGUGGGGAGCAAACAGGAUUAGAAACCCUAGUAGUCC
rnacentral:rRNA from 1 species